rnacentral:rRNA from 1 species
CCUACGGGUGGCAGCAGUGAGGAAUAUUGGUCAAUGGGCGGGAGCCUGAACCAGCCAAGUCGCGUGAGGGAAGACGGUCCUACGGAUUGUAAACCUCUUUUGCCGGGGAGCAACGGGGUCCUUGCGAGGGCCCGAUGAGAGUACCCGGAGAACAAGCAUCGGCUAACUCCGUGCCAGCAGCCGCGGUAAUACGGAGGAUGCGAGCGUUAUCCGGUUUUAUUGGGUUUAAAGGGUGCGUAGGCGGGCUGUUAAGUCAGCGGUAAAAUGUCGGGGCUCAACCCCGGCCUGCCGUUGAAACUGGUGGCCUCGAGUGGGCGAGAAGUAUGCGGAAUGCGUGGUGUAGCGGUGAAAUGCAUAGAUAUCACGCAGAACUCCGAUUGCGAAGGCAGCAUACUGGCGCCCGACUGACGCUGAGGCACGAAAGCGUGGGUAUCGAACAGGAUUAGAUACCCCGGUAGUC